AACGCUAGCUACAGGCUUAACACAUGCAAGUCGAGGGGAAACGAUAGAGAAAGCUUGCUUUUUCUAGGCGUCGACCGGCGCACGGGUGAGUAACGCGUAUCCAACCUGCCCGUCACUUGGGGAUAACCUUGCGAAAGUAAGACUAAUACCCAAUGAUAUCUCUAGAAGACAUCUGAAGGAGAUUAAAGAUUUAUCGGUGAUGGAUGGGGAUGCGUCUGAUUAGCUUGUUGGCGGGGUAACGGCCCACCAAGGCGACGAUCAGUAGGGGUUCUGAGAGGAAGGUCCCCCACAUUGGAACUGAGACACGGUCCAAACUCCUACGGGAGGCAGCAGUGAGGAAUAUUGGUCAAUGGGCGAGAGCCUGAACCAGCCAAGUAGCGUGCAGGAUGACGGCCCUAUGGGUUGUAAACUGCUUUUAUAAGGGAAUAAAGUGAGUCUCGUGAGACUUUUUGCAUGUACCUUAUGAAUAAGGAUCGGCUAACUCCGUGCCAGCAGCCGCGGUAAUACGGAGGAUCCGAGCGUUAUCCGGAUUUAUUGGGUUUAAAGGGAGCGUAGGCGGACGCUUAAGUCAGUUGUGAAAGUUUGCGGCUCAACCGUAAAAUUGCAGUUGAUACUGGAUGUCUUGAGUGCAGUUGAGGUGCAUGGAAUUCGUGGUGUAGCGGUGAAAUGCUUAGAUAUCACGAAGAACUCCGAUUG
rnacentral:rRNA from 1 species